ACCCAGCUGGCUCAGUUGGUAGAGCACCAACUCCUGAUCUCCAGGUCGUGAGUUUAAGCCCCACGUUGGGUG
rnacentral:tRNA from 1 species